UUUUCCCCUUGACAUGGGCAUUUUGAUCAUAACUGAUCUCACGUCUCCAAAAGAACAUUAUUUUUAUUUCCUUGUAGAGAACGCCCUUGUUCCUAAAAAGAGACUUUCACGAUAAGCCCACGUGCGAUUUCUGAGAAGUUACUCCCUAAUGUGAAGUGUAUUUUACAAGUGGCCAGAAUGCCACAACAUUGGCAAGCUUUGGUAGAGCUCAGGGCAGUAUUUAUUACUUAUUCUUGCUUGAGCUGCUGUUUCCAGCAGUGCUGCAUGUGCUUUAAGAAGCUGCCAGAAUGAAUGACAGGCAGUGUUGGUCAGCAUGGAUUAAGCUCAUGCUAUUGCUGGUUUAAAUAACAGUGAUUCCAUGUUGAUGUCCAAAUCUGUGCCAGCCUCCUCUAACUUCUUGGGCAUCUUACUUUCCAACACAUGAGGCUUCCUAAGAUGGCAUUUCCCCCCCUAAUACACUGAGUGCAUGCCAUUACAAAGGAGCCUACACUCAUAGA
rnacentral:lncRNA from 1 species